rfam:Camelus ferus unplaced genomic scaffold scaffold2578, whole genome shotgun sequence.
GAGAAUAUAGCUCAAGUGGUAGAGCGCAUGCCUAGCAUGCAUGAGGUCCUGGGUUCAAUCCCCAGUACCUCCU